AGAGCUUACACGUAUACUACUAACCUGGAGGACCUACAAAUAGAAUUAGAUUAUAUAUUCAGCAUAGGCUGCGCACAUGGAUACAGCAACAGAUACAUCAGUAACAUACUAUGUAAGGUAAGAUGAUUAGUAAAUAGUAUCGAUGCACAGAUGCCCAGGACUGGACGAGAAGAUGGUUUUUUACCGAUCCCUUACGCUACAUCCAGGCUUAAGUCGGCACAAAUGGUAACACGGAAAACCAAGAACAGAAUGGCCAUAAAACGAGCCCCCAUGGUCUUCGGCCUCUUGAGGAAUGAUAAAGAACCCAGGCAUCACCUAGACAGGUCAGGAUAUAUGAAAUCCCUAUUGAAUAUACAGCCAAUAAUGAUAAUGCCCA
rnacentral:lncRNA from 1 species